ACGGGUGCGGAACACGUACGCAACCUUCCUUCAAGCGGGGCAUAGCUUUCGGAAACGAAAAUUAAUACCCCAUAGUAAUGUCUGAGGGCAUCUGAGGAUAUUUAAAGAUUUAUCACUUGAAGAUGGGCGUGCGCCUGAUUAGGUAGUUGGCGGGGUAACGGCCCACCAAGCCUACGAUCAGUAACUGGUGUGAGAGCACGACCAGUCACACGGGCACUGAGACACGGGCCCGACUCCUACGGGAGGCAGCAGUAAGGAAUAUUGGUCAAUGGACGCAAGUCUGAACCAGCCAUGCCGCGUGGAGGAUGAAGGUCCUCUGGAUUGUAAACUUCUUUUAUCGGAGAAGAAACCCCAGAUUUCUAUUUGGGUUGACGGUACCCGAUGAAUAAGCACCGGCUAACUCCGUGCCAGCAGCCGCGGUAAUACGGAGGGUGCAAGCGUUAUCCGGAUUCACUGGGUUUAAAGGGAGCGUAGGUGGGCUGGUAAGUCAGUGGUGAAAUCUCCGGGCUUAACUCGGAAACUGCCGUUGAUACUAUCAGUCUUGAAUGUUGUGGAGGUAAGCGGAAUAUGUCAUGUAGCGGUG
rnacentral:rRNA from 1 species